AAAUUGAAGAGUUUGAUCAUGGCUCAGAUUGAACGCUGGCGGCAGGCCUAACACAUGCAAGUCGAACGGUAACAGGAAGCAGCUUGCUGCUUUGCUGACGAGUGGCGGACGGGUGAGUAAUGUCUGGGAAACUGCCUGAUGGAGGGGGAUAACUACUGGAAACGGUGGCUAAUACCGCAUAACGUCGCAAGACCAAAGAGGGGGACCUUCGGGCCUCUUGCCAUCAGAUGUGCCCAGAUGGGAUUAGCUAGUUGGUGAGGUAACGGCUCACCAAGGCGACGAUCCCUAGCUGGUCUGAGAGGAUGACCAGCCACACUGGAACUGAGACACGGUCCAGACUCCUACGGGAGGCAGCAGUGGGGAAUAUUGCACAAUGGGCGCAAGCCUGAUGCAGCCAUGCCGCGUGUAUGAAGAAGGCCUUCGGGUUGUAAAGUACUUUCAGCGGGGAGGAAGGUGUUGUGGUUAAUAACCGCAGCAAUUGACG
rnacentral:rRNA from 1 species